UGGUGUUUCCUUAUCCGUGUCCAAGUAAAAGCGCCUUUGUGUAUAAAUAUAUCUGAUGAUUAAGUUUUUUCUGUGAUUCCGAUCCUUGGAAAAAGAUGUUUUUAGUUAAUAUAUUGGAUUGGAUCUGCGGUUUAAAAGCUCCACCUAAGGUCGUCUCCCAAUUUUUCUGGGAUUACUGCCAAUAAUUCGCCGUGUGUGAGAAGCGCAGACUAAGUGCCAACAGGCAAAGAGAAGACCACCAUCGAAAAGUGUUUUUUUUUCAAGCGAUAAUCACUUAAGAAGUAAUAACUGCGAAGAACAGUCUCCACCAGUAGGUGAAUUCCAGACCACCAGUAGGUGAAUUCCAGAUUGCCACCAAGAGCACAUUUAUUAUCUCAACCACGAGCUACAGGGAACGAGUACAACAGGGAAUGCAAUAUUGGAAAAUGCUUCUGAUGGUGGCACAGUUGAUCAAUGUGGAGGUGAUAAUAAUAUAUGAACUGGAACAACCAUCAAAUAAUUUUUUUGGCGGAAAUGUAUCUGAUGUUGGCACAGAUGUGACCGCAAUAAUUGUAAUGGCAGAGUUUGCGGCAGGUCUCAGAUCAAGUCCUUGACGAGUUCAGAAACCAAUCUAUUAAUAGCUAAUAGAUUGGUAAUGGCGGAAAAGUAUCUGAUGUUGGCACAGAUGUGAUCGCAAUAAUUGUAAUGGCAGAGUUUGCGGCAGGUCUCAGAUCAAGUCCUUGACGUGUUCAGAAACCAAUCUAUUAAUAGUCCUUCACCAUCUAUGUAUUAUUUGUGCUUUUGUUUUCCCUUUUUCUUUAGAUUCAUCCUUUGGGAGCCUGCUUAAAAAUAGCUAAUUAAUAAUAGUAAAUAAAUAUCUGCAGAUGAAUCGGGAUUUUUAUUA